rnacentral:rRNA from 1 species
UCCUACGGGGCGCAGCAGUGGGGAAUCUUGCACAAUGGACGAAAGUCUGAUGCAGCGACGCCGCGUGAGCGAUGAAGCCCUUCGGGGUGUAAAGCUCUUUCGACAGGAACGAUAAUGACGGUACCUGGAGAAGAAGCUGCGGCUAACUACGUGCCAGCAGCCGCGGUAAUACGUAGGCAGCAAGCGUUGUUCGGAAUUACUGGGCGUAAAGCGUGCGUAGGCGGUGGCUCAAGUUUGGUGUGAAAUCUCCCGGCUCAACUGGGAGGGUGCGCCGAAAACUGAGUUGCUCGAGUGUGGGAGAGGUAGGCGGAAUUCCUGGUGUAGCGGUGAAAUGCGUAGAUAUCAGGAGGAACACCGGCGGUGUAGACGGCUUACUGGACCAUAACUGACGCUGAGGCACGAAAGUGUGGGGAGCAAACAGGAUUAGAUACCCCGGUAGUC